CCUACGGGUGGCAGCAGUAGGGAAUUUUUCACAAUGGGGGAAACCCUGAUGCAGCGACGCCGCGUGGGUGAAGAAGCGCCUCGGCGCGUAAAGCCCUGUCAGCAGGGAAGAAAAUGACGGUACCUGAAGAAGAAGCCCCGGCUAACUACGUGCCAGCAGCCGCGGUAAUACGUAGGGGGCAAGCGUUAUCCGGAUUUACUGGGUGUAAAGGGGGCGCAGACGGUGAUGCAAGCCAGGAGUGAAAGCCCGGGGCCCAACCCCGGGACUGCACUUGGAACUGCGUGGCUAGAGUGCAGGAGGGGCAGGCGGAAUUCCUGGUGUAGCGGUGAAAUGCGUAGAUAUCAGGAGGAACACCGGUGGCGAAGGCGGCCUGCUGGACUGCAACUGACGUUGAGGCCCGAAAGCGUGGGGAGCAAACAGGAUUAGAUACCCGGGUAGUC
rnacentral:rRNA from 1 species